AUUGAACGCUGGCGGCAGGCUUAACACAUGCAAGUCGAACGAGUGGCGGACGGGUGAGUAAUGCUUGGGAAUCUAGCUUAUGGAGGGGGAUAAAUACGGGAAACUGUAAAUAAUACCGCGUACAACACGCUGAGCCCAAGUGGGAUUAAGUAGUUGGUGAGGUAAUGUCUCACCAUGACGACGAUUUCUAGCUGGUCUGAGAGGAUGAACGGCCACACUGGGACUGAGACACGGCCCAGACUCCUACGGGAGGCAGCAGUUGGGAAGAUUGCGCAAUGGUGGCAACCUGACGGAGCCAGGCCGCGUGAAUGAAGAAGGCCUUCGGGUUGUAAAGUUCUUUCGGUAGCGAGGCGUUAGCUACAGAGAAAGCACCGGCUAACUCCGUGCCAGCAGCCGCGGUAAUUC
rnacentral:rRNA from 1 species